UGAGAAGGGAAAGGAGGCCAUUUCCCAAACUUAGGGUGUGGGAUGUAUUUAGGUGGGAAAGGCGGAAGCUUCGGAAGUGGUGGACACGGUUUCUUUGGAAUCACCACUGGUGGCUUGUAGAUUGGUUUGUAUAUGGGCACCGGCGGCUUGUAGAUUGGCACCUUAACUUUAGGCGGACACGGCUUCUUUGGAAUCACCACCGGUGGUUUGUAGAUGGGCACCGGAGGCUUGUAGAUCGGUUUGUAAUGCACCGGAGCUUUUGGCGGACACGGCUUCUUUGGAAUCACCACCGGUGGCUUGUAGAUAUGCACUGGGGGCUUGUAGAUCGGCUUGGGAAGUGGCGGACAUGGUUUCUUUGGGAUCACCACUGGCGGCUUGUAGAUAGGUACUGGCGGCUUGUAGAUGGGCACUGAAGGUUUGUGUGCGAUCUUUGGUGGGCACGGCUUCUUGGGGAUCACCACCGGUGGCUUGUAAAUUGGGAGGAAUGGUGGAAGCUUUAUCUUUGGGGGACAAGGCUUUUUGAUCUUAGGAAAUGGAGGA
rnacentral:lncRNA from 1 species